GGGGCACCAAGGACUGGAGGUGUUUGGGGAGCAGAUGAAGACCAAGAGACUUGGGGGGCACGAAGGUUUGGGGGUGACGACGGAGGUCCAACCAGGUCUGGAGAUGGAGGAGCACCCAAAGGUGAAGACUUUUGGGGUGCGUCAAGGACAGGAGACGAUGGAGGAGCACCCAAAGACCGAAAGACUUGGGGUGCACCAAGGUUUGGAGAUAGAGGAGCACCCACAGACCAAGAGUUUUGGGGUGCGUCAAGGUCUGGAGAUGUUGGAAGAGCACCCAAAGACCGAGAGACUUGGGGGUCACCAAGGUCUGGAGAUGUUGGAGGAGCACCCAAUGGUGAAGACUCUUGGGGCGCAUCAAGAUCUGGAGAUGUUUGGGGAGCACCCAAAGGUGAAGGUUGGGGUGCAACCAAGUCUGGAGAUGUUGGAAGAGCACCCAAAGACCAAGAGCCUUGGGGUACGUCAAGAUUCGGAGAUGACGGAGGUCCAACCAACGCCGGAGACGUUGGAGGAGGA
rnacentral:lncRNA from 1 species